rnacentral:sRNA from 1 species
GACGGGACGCGACGCCAAUCGCGACGAGGCUUCGCCCCGUGGCGCGGUUUGAAAUUUUGCGGGGCUCAACGGCUCGCGGAGCGGCUACGCGGAGUGACAUCGCCGGUGUUUGCGGGUGGUUGUUGCUCUCGGGGCCGUGUGGAGUAGGUCUGGACCUGGACUCACGGCUGCUUGGAGCGUCCGCCAUGAGGAGAAGUGAGGUGCUGGCGGAGGAGUCCAUAGUAUGUCUGCAGAAAGCCCUAAAUCACCUUCGGGAAAUAUGGGAGCUAAUUGGGAUUCCAGAGGACCAGCGGUUACAAAGAACUGAGGUGGUAAAGAAGCAUAUCAAGGAACUCCUGGAUAUGAUGAUUGCUGAAGAGGAAAGCCUGAAGGAAAGACUCAUCAAAAGCAUAUCCGUCUGUCAGAAAGAGCUGAACACUCUGUGCAGCGAGUUACAUGUUGAGCCAUUUCAGGUCCGUGGCAGCCCACAGGGUCUCUGGGGAUCUGUCUGGGGCCUGAGACUUAGAAAGCAACGUUGACUUGGGCCUGCAGAUGGAAGGCUUCCUCGUAGGGAUGGAGCUAGACGAAGAAGGAGAGACAACCAUCUUGCAACUAGAAAAAGAUUUGCGCACCCAAGUGGAAUUGAUGCGAAAACAGAAAAAGGAGAGAAAACAGGAACUG